rnacentral:rRNA from 1 species
ACCCCGUGAACCUUUACUAUAGCUUGACACUGAACAUUGAGCCUUGAUGUGUAGGAUAGGUGGGAGGCUUUGAAGUGUGGACGCCAGUCUGCAUGGAGCCGACCUUGAAAUACCACCCUUUAAUGUUUGAUGUUCUAACGUUGACCCGUAAUCCGGGUUGCGGACAGUGUCUGGUGGGUAGUUUGACUGGGGCGGUCUCCUCCUAAAGAGUAACGGAGGAGCACGAAGGUUGGCUAAUCCUGGUCGGACAUCAGGAGGUUAGUGCAAUGGCAUAAGCCAGCUUGACUGCGAGCGUGACGGCGCGAGCAGGUGCGAAAGCAGGUCAUAGUGAUCCGGUGGUUCUGAAUGGAAGGGCCAUCGCUCAACGGAUAAAAGGUACUCCGGGGAUAACAGGCUGAUACCGCCCAAGAGUUCAUAUCGACGGCGGUGUUUGGCACCUCGAUGUCGGCUCAUCACAUCCUGGGGCUGAAGUAGGUCCCAAGGGUAUGGCUGUUCGCCAUUUAAAGUGGUACGCGAGCUGGGUUUAGAACGUCGUGAGACAGUUCGGUCCCUAUCUGCCGUGGGCGCUGGAGAACUGAGGGGGGCUGCUCCUAGUACGAGAGGACCGGAGUGGACGCAUCACUGGUGUUCGGGUUGUCAUGCCAAUGGCACUGCCCGGUAGCUAAAUGCGGAAGAGAUAAGUGCUGAAAGCAUCUAAGCACGAAACUUGCC